rnacentral:rRNA from 1 species
CAAACCAAAGCUGGCGACCGGCGCACGGGCGAGUAACACGUAUCCAACCUGCCUCAUACUCGGGGAUAGCCUUUCGAAAGAAAGAUUAAUAUCCGAUAGCAUAUAUUUCCCGCAUGGGUUUUAUAUUAAAGAAAUUCGGUAUGAGAUGGGGAUGCGUUCCAUUAGUUUGUUGGGGGGGUAACGGCCCACCAAGACUACGAUGGAUAGGGGUUCUGAGAGGAAGGUCCCCCACAUUGGAACUGAGACACGGUCCAA